rnacentral:rRNA from 1 species
UCGGAGGAAAAGAAACCAACAGGGAUUGCCCUAGUAACGGCGAGUGAAGCGGCAAAAGCUCAAAUUUGAAAUCUGGCCCUAGCGGUCCGAGUUGUAAUUUGCAGAGGAUGCUUUUGGUGCGGUGCCUUCCGAGUUCCCUGGAACGGGACGCCAUAGAGGGUGAGAGCCCCGUACGGUUGGAUACCUAGCCUCUAUAUAGCUCCUUCGACGAGUCGAGUAGUUUGGGAAUGCUGCUCUAAAUGGGAGGUAAAUUUCUUCUAAAGCUAAAUACCGGCCAGAGACCGAUAGCGCACAAGUAGAGUGAUCGAAAGAUGAAAAGCACUUUGAAAAGAGGGUUAAAUAGCACGUGAAAUUGUUGAAAGGGAAGCGUUUGCGACCAGACCUUCUCCAGGGGGAUCAACCGCUGUUCUCAGCGGUGCACUCCCCCUGGUUUAGGCCAGCAUCGGUUCUCUUAGGGGGAUAAAGGCCUGGGGAACGUAGCUCUUUAGGGAGUGUUAUAGCCCCUAGCGUAAUACCCUUCAGGGGACCGAGGACCGCGCUUCGGCAAGGAUGCUGGGGCGUAAUGGUCGUCAACGACCCGUCUG